rnacentral:rRNA from 1 species
GGGGACCCGCACAAGUAGCGGAGCAUGUGGGUUAAUUCGAAGCAACGCGAAGAACCUUACCUAAGCUGGACAUCCCAAUGACAUCUCCUUAAUCGGGGAGUUCCCUUCGGGGACAUUGGUGACAGGUGGUGCAUGGUUGUCGUCAGCUCGUGUCGUGAGAUGUUGGGUUAAGUCCCGCAACGAGCGCAACCCUUGUCUUUAGUUGCCAUCAUUAAGUUGGGCACUCUAGAGAGACUGCCAGGGAUAACCUGGAGGAAGGUGGGGAUGACGUCAAAUCAUCAUGCC